rnacentral:rRNA from 1 species
UACAGAGGUCCCAAGCGUUGUUCGGAUUCACUGGGCGUAAAGGGUGCGCAGGUGGGUUUGCAAGUUCGAUGUGAAAGCCCCGGGCUUAACCCGGGAAUGGCAUUGGAUACUGCAGAUCUGGAGGAUCGGAGGGGGGACUGGAAUUCUUGGUGUAGCAGUGAAAUGCGUAGAUAUCAAGAGGAACACCAGUGGCGAAGGCGAGUCCCUGGACAACACCUGACACUGAGGCACGAAAGCUAGGGGAGCAAACAGG